rnacentral:rRNA from 1 species
AUACGGAGGAUGCAAGCGUUAUCCGGAUUUAUUGGGUUUAAAGGGUGCGUAGGCGGACCCUUAAGUCAGCGGUGAAAUACCCCGGCUCAACCGGGGGGCUGCCGUUGAUACUGGGGGUCUCGAGGGCGAACGGCGCCGGCGGAAUGUGUCAUGUAGCGGUGAAAUGCAUAGAUAUGACACAGAACACCGAUCGCGAAGGCAGCUGGCGAGGACGCGACUGACGCUGAUGCACGAAGGUGCGGGGAUCAAACAGGAUUAGAUACCCUGGUAGUCCGCACAGUAAACGAUGAUGACUUGUUGUCGGCGAUAGACAGCCGGUGACAAAGCGAAAGCGAUAAGUCAUCCACCUGGGGAGUACGAUCGCAAGGUUGAAACUCAAAUGAAUUGGCGGGG